rnacentral:rRNA from 1 species
UACGUAGGGGGCAAGCGUUGUCCGGAAUCAUUGGGCGUAAAGAGCGUGUAGGCGGCCCGGUAAGUCCGCUGUGAAAGUCCAGGGCUCAACCCUGGGAUGCCGGUCGAUACUGCCGGACUAGAGUUCGGAAGAGGCGAGUGGAAUUCCCGGUGUAGCGGUGAAAUGCGCAGAUAUCGGGAGGAACACCAAUGGCGAAGGCAGCUCGCUGGGACGUUACUGACGCUGAGACGCGAAAGCGUGGGGAGCAAACAGGG